AAAUGAAUUUUUGGGAUGGUACAAGGUAAGAGUCAAUGUUCCCUCUCUCUCUCUCCUUUUUUUUUUUUUAAGACGGAGUCUUGUUCUGUUGGCCAGGCUGGAGUGCACUGGCACAAUCUCGGUUCACUGCAACCUCCGCCUCCCAGGUUCAAGCGAUUCUCCUGCCUCAGCCUCCUGCGUAGCUGGGAUUACAGGCGCACGCCACCACGCCCAGCUAAUUUUUGUAUUUUUAGUAGAGACGGGGUUUCACCAUGUUGGUUGGCCAGGAUGGUCUCGAUCUCCUGACUUCGUGAUCCACCCACCUCGGCCUCCCAAAGUGUUGGGAUUACAGGCGUGAGACACUGCACCCAGCCCUCUCUUAAUUUUUUUAACAUACAGAUAGCCAGUUCUUUCCUGAUUUGUAAGUUUUUAUUUAAACCAGAGUUAGAAAAAUAAUUAAAAUAACACUACCUCUAAACACUCAAAACCACUGCUAUGACAUAAUCCUGCCAUUUCAGUAGAACAGAAAAUCCCCACGCCUUCCCCUCAGCUCGGAGGGCACAGGACUGGGCAGCAAGCUCCACCAGUUUGUAGAAGGAGUUCAACUUCCAGACAGCAGGGAAAUGCCUUUCUCUGAAGUUAUUACAUGAGUUCACACUGAAGGGAAAGAAGAAAGUGAGCCUUAUCAUUUUCCCAAGAUGCUGUGAGAUGUGUUGGAUUUACUCUCACUCAUAAUUGUGCAGGAUGGUUGUUUUGUUUUGUUUUGAGGCAGGGUCUCACUCUGUCACCCAGGCUGGAGUGCAGUGGUGUGGUCUCAAUUCACUGCAACCUCUGCCUCCAGGGUUCAAGCAAUUCUCCUGCCUCCGCCUCCCGAGUAGCUAGAGUCACAGGUGUGCACCACCAUGCCUUGCUAAUUUUUGUAUUUUUAGCAGAGAUGGGGUUUCAUCAUGUUGGCCAGGCUGGACUCCAACUCCUGACCUGAAGUGAUCCGCCCCCCUCAACCUCCCAAAGUGCUGGGAUUACAGACGUGAGCCACUGUGCCUAGCCACAGGUAUGUUCGGGAUGGUUUCAACCAACAUCAAUAGAACCAACUAAGAAUAGAUGGCCUUCAGCAACACAGAGGGGUAGCACAGGAGUUCCAAAGAUCAGUAGUUUGAAAAUCAGGUCACAGGGAGUCCACGCUAUAUGAUCUUGGGGUCUCACUUUGUGGCCCAGCUGGAAUACCGUGGUGCAAACACGGUUCACUGCAGCCUUGACCUCCCAAAUUCAAAGAUGAGGUUUCACCAUGUUGCCUAGGCUGGUCUCAAACUUCUGACAUCAAGCAAUCUGCCCACCCUGGCCUCCCAAAGUGUUGGGAUUACAGCUGUGAGCCACUGCACCCGGCAAAUAAUCUUUUUAAAACAGAUUGUGAUUCCGCAGGUCUGAGGUGGCGUCUGAGAUUCUGCAUUCCUAAUAGGCUUCCAGAGACAGCAUCUCACCAUGAUGCCCGACUAGCCUUGAACUCCUGGCUUCAAGUGAUCCUCCCCAUUCGGCCUCCCAAAGCGCUGGGAUUAUAGGUGUGAGCCACCAUAACAGGCCCAAAAGUAACAUCUGAUCAAAAAUCUCAAGGUGAUGCGGGAACAAGCCAUGAGGCUACUCAGGGAAACGUGCUCUAAAUAGAAGGAAUAACAAGUACAAAAGCCCUGAUAUGCGAGCUAAGGUGCUCAGGGACAACAAACAAAGCCAAUAUGGUUGGGGUAAAACAAGCAAGGGAGAGAAGAGAAGCAGAUAAAAUAAGAGUUACAAAGCAGUUCAUGUGGGACUUUGUAGACGAGUAUAAGGACUGUGGCUUUUUCAGUGAAUGAGAAUAACUGGCAGGUUCUGAGCAAGGAGGGAUAUGACCUGAUUAAUUUUAAAUGGAUAAUGUAAUCGUGUUUAAACUCAAAAAGCUGAAUUAAACACCUGUUCCAUCUC
ensembl:lncRNA MRTFA-AS1 MRTFA antisense RNA 1